rnacentral:rRNA from 1 species
GACGAACGCUGGCGGCGUGCCUAAUACAUGCAAGUCGAACGCAGUGGGGACGGGUGAGUAACACGUGGGUAACCUCCCAUCAGAGGGGAUAAAACUUGGAAACAGGUGAAAACGCUAUACUGAUGGAUGGACCCUCGGUGCAUUAGCUAGGUGGGGAGGGAACGGCUCACCAAGGCAACGAUGCAUAGCGGACCGGGGAGGGUGAUGGGCACACCUGGGACUGAGACACGGCCCAGACUCCUACGGUAGGCAGCAGUAGGGAAUCUUCGGCAAUGGACGAAAGUCUGACCGAGCAACGCCGCGUGAGUGAAGAAGGUGUUCGGAUCGUAAAACUCUGUUGUUAGAGAAGCGGUAUCUAACCAGAAAGCCACGGCUAACUACGUGCCAGCAGCCGCGGUAAUAC